rnacentral:rRNA from 1 species
CAGCAGCCGCGGGAAUACAGAGGGUGCGAGCGUUAAUCGGAUUUACUGGGCGUAAAGCGUGCGUAGGCGGCUUUUUAAGUCGGAUGUGAAAUCCCUGAGCUUAACUUAGGAAUUGCAUUCGAUACUGGGAAGCUAGAGUAUGGGAGAGGAUGGUAGAAUUCCAGGUGUAGCGGUGAAAUGCGUAGAGAUCUGGAGGAAUACCGAUGGCGAAGGCAGCCAUCUGGCCUAAUACUGACGCUGAGGUACGAAAGCAUGGGGAGCAAACAGGAUUAGAUACCCCAGUAGUUCCUGUCUCUUAUAC